CAUCCGUCUGUAAUUCAUCGAUUGCUGCCGACACAAUCUAGAGAGAUCGGUGUCUUCAAAAAAGAAAAGAAACAAAAAAAACUAGAGAGAUCAGUGGUCGAGAAGAAGAACGACUGAGAGAGAGAGCGUGUGUUUGUUUGGUUUGUGCGGCGAAUAGAUAGACGGAUCGAAGUGAAAUUUUCAGCUUAGCAUCUGAGGAAAAUUUGAGGAGAUCUUUUUGGGAAGCUCUUGCGUAAAAAGAUUGUAUCUGAAUUGCAAAGCUCUGAUUUUUGGUGUGAGUGGAGGCUUUUAAUU